CCUCUGAGAGAUGAUGAGAUUGUCUCGUAUCUUCUCUCCAGCCUUGGAUCUGAAUGUGAUCCAUUGGUAACCGCCAUCACCACAAGACUCAGCGAUAUGACAUUUGAAGAAGUCUACUCCCACCUCAUGAGUUUUGAGA